rnacentral:sRNA from 12 species
UGCCUAAACCUCUUAUGAGGCAUGGCAUAUAAGACCUAUCGCUGAUACUGAACCCCGUGUUCAGCGACUCAGCGAUGGGCUAUAUUCCGAAAGGUUUAUAGGGUCGUAAGACCU